rnacentral:rRNA from 1 species
UACGGGGGGGGCAAGCGUUGUUCGGAAUUACUGGGCGUAAAGGGCUUGUAGGCGGCCAACUAAGUCAGACGUGAAAUCCCUCGGCUUAACCGGGGAACUGCGUCUGAUACUGGAUGGCUUGAGUUCGGGAGAGGGAUGCGGAAUUCCAGGUGUAGCGGUGAAAUGCGUAGAUAUUCGCAAGAACACCAGUGGCGAAGGCGGCUCACUGGCCCGAUACUGACGCUGAGGUGCGAAAGCGUGGGGAGCAAACAGG